UACGGGGGGAGCAAGCGUUGUUCGGAAUUACUGGGCGUAAAGGGCGCGUAGGCGGUUCGCUAAGUUGGAUGUGAAGACUCUGGGCUCAACCCAGAGCCUGCAUCCAAAACUGGCGGGCUAGAGUUCUGGAGGGGGUAGCGGAAUUCCUGGUGUAGCGGUGAAAUGCGUAGAUAUCAGGAGGAACACCGGUGGCGAAGGCGGCGCACUGGACCACAUCUGACGCUGAGGCGCGAAAGCUAGGGGAGCAAACAGG
rnacentral:rRNA from 1 species